rnacentral:rRNA from 1 species
UACGUAGGGUCCGAGCGUUAAUCGGAAUUACUGGGCGUAAAGCGUGCGCAGGCGGUCUUGUAAGCCAGAUGUGAAAGCCCCGGGCUUAACCUGGGAAUGGCAUUUGGGACUGCAAGGCUCGAGUGCGGCAGAGGAGACUGGAAUUCCUGGUGUAGCAGUGAAAUGCGUAGAUAUCAGGAGGAAUACCGAUGGCGAAGGCAGGUCUCUGGGCUGACACUGACGCUCAUGCACGAAAGCGUGGGGAGCAAACAGG